rnacentral:rRNA from 1 species
GACGAACGCUGGCGGCAUGCCUAACACAUGCAAGUCGAACGGAGAUUACUUCGGUAAUCUUAGUGGCGAACGGGUGCGUAACGCGUGGGCACCCUGCCCUCUAGAUCGGGACAACAUCCCGAAAGGGGUGCUAAUACCGAAUGUGACAGCAAUCUCGCAUGAGGAUGCUGUUAAAGAUGGCCUCGAUUUAUAAGCUAUCGCUAGAGGAUGGGCCUGCGUCUGAUUAGCUAGUUGGUGGGGUAACGGCCUACCAAGGCGAUGAUCAGUAGCCGGUCUGAGAGGGUGGACGGCCACAUUGGGACUGGGACACGGCCCCGACUCCUACGGGAGGCAGCAGUGGGGAAUCUUCCGCAAUGGGGGAAAGCCUUACGGAGCAAUGCCGCGGGAGUGAUGAAGGAAUUCGUUCCGUAAAGCUCCUUUGUUUAUGACGAAUGUGCAGAGUGUAAAUAAUAAUCUGUAAUGACGGUAGUAAACGAAUAAGCCACGGCUAACUACGUG